rnacentral:lncRNA from 1 species
UUUACAUUUUAGGUACCUACCCUACGUUCUUGAGAAAAAAAAAAUGUAUAUUAAGUAAUAAUAUCAUUCAGGCGAAGGUACAUAGGAUGUUUGCAAGUGCAAAGUCCACUUCCCUGUACAAAAACGAUCACCGCGCACCACGUACACGCCGUAGGGUGCACCGCCAGCAGGCCAUACCCACAAGGCCUCCAGACAUGGCGCACCCAGAACGCAUCAUGGCCGGUGACCCGAGAGAGACCAGGAAUACUCAAUUUAAGCUGUACUGAACAACAGGAACCCCUUUUCGGAAAUUAGGAGUGCCAUUUCGCAUUUCAAAAAACGCAAUAGCAAGUAUCGUGAUGGAGGUUUGCAGUGCAAUUUGGAAUAAUUUAACGAAAUACAAUUGAAGUUUCCAAGUAUCGAAGAUUUUAAGGAAAUAGCAAAUUCAUUUUCAAAUAAAAAUAAAUUUCCACAUUGCUGUGGGAAUCUGGACGAAAAACACAUUCGUGUCGUAAAGCCACAACUCUCGGGAAGCAUGUAUUUCAACUACAAGAAAUAUUACUCAAUUGUUUUAUUAGCGGUCUCCGAUUCAGACAACACAUUUCGCAUCAUUGACGUAGGUGCAUACGGGAAAGAUAGUGAUGGAGGCGUUCUCAGCAAUUCAAAACAUACAUUUUAAUUGUAACCGUUUCUACUUAGAUUAAAAGUACGGAUUACCUAUCCUAGUCAAUUAACUGUCUAAUAAGUUGUGCAACCAGUGAACAAUCUACUUGCACUAAAAGGAAUAAUAACAUAGGAAUUAAUACUAUCUCCGCUAUAAAAAUACUAACCAACCAUGUCGUCACUUGAAAUCCAAAUACACAUAGUUCUGGCCGGAAAAAAAAUAACUAGAGGAAUGGAUUAUAGAGAUAUCUAUUUCUUUCUCCAAGAAAGACUUUCGUCACUUGAAAUCCAAAUACAAAUAGUUCUGGCCGAAAAAAAAAAGAACUAGAGGAAUGGAUUAUAGAGAUAUCUAUUUCUUUCUCCAAGAAAGAAAUAGAAGAAAAUGAAAACCGACAGGAUUUAUACCCCGCCCCUUUUGUAUUAAACAACCAACCAGGCUUUUGGUUCUCCAUAGCAGAGACCCAGUUCCAGACAGCUGGAAUCACAGACGAUCAAACAAAAUACAGCUAUCUUGUCAGCCAACUGGAUAAAGAAAUAAGUAUUGAAAAGGUGAAAGAUAUUAUUAGUAACCCUCCUAUGGAAGGAAAAUAUCUUAAGCUAAAGGAAGAAUUAACAAAACGCUUAGAGGUACCUGAACACAAAAGAAUAAGGCAACUGUUUAAUGAAAAGAUAAAUGAUAGGACACCAUCGCAGUUCUAAGUUCUACCAUCAUCUAAAGUGGUUAGGUGGACCCAACAUGACUGUUGUCCCUUUGAUUUGACUAUGGUCGCACGAUCAAACGUAUCGUACGUUAUUAAGCAUUUCAUGUGCUCGCACGAUUACUUGCGAGGUUCAAAUAGGACACUCUGAUGAAAUCUGUUCGUUUGAACUCAUCGCACGACGAGAACGCAUCGUGUCAUCGUACGAUCGCUGUCAAUUAGGCCGACGCCUGAGACGCUGUCUUUUGGCGAGGACUUUGUGGCAGAAGCAACGGGAUCGGGACAAGUUUAGACCCCCACACCGCCCACAGCACGCUAUCUUUGGCUACCUAUCACUUUAUCUUCACGCUAUAUUCGAGGCAUAUGUACCUAAAGGGCUUAAAGGCCACUUUAUAAGAUACCAGCGUCCCGCUCCGGUUUCGCACGGGAUAACAUUAUACAUAAUAUAAGCAAUAGCUCUUUAAUCACCCUAUCUAAUAAAAAACCGCUUGAAAAUCGGUUGAGUAGUUUUGAAGAUUUUUUAGCGACUUUGAGGUUGGUAAACCUGGCGCCGAAUGCGCGCCGUGACGUUGGUACGUCGUGCGCGGGCUGCGUCCCGCGCGUUCCCGCCUUUUUACGAAUAAAAUUUGUUGAUUGUAACUACCGAGGUGUACAAAGACCAGACUUCAGAGAGAACGACCUUGUCUGGAUAACCAAGAAUAUUAACAACAACAAAGUCUGUUGGCUCGAGGGUAUAAUUAAGAAAAAAAUCGGCAAUAUUAUGUACGCUGUGUACGUGCCGCAGUUGGAUGGUGAGGUCACCAGACAUAUGGACCAAAUAGGAAAAGACUGUCUACAUCAGUACUAAAGCCAACCGGUGAAGACCAAGACUGGGACUCCGACGUGAUUCCAGACGUGAUGUCGCCUGCUACCGACCACCCCGAGCCUACCUCACAACCAAAGAGGGGAGGAGAGGCGACAAUAGGCGAUAUAAUUGACGUACUGCGUUGUUCCCCGUUUCCCGCGCAAAUACACUAUGUAGUGAUAAUCAGUAUAUCGCUUUUAUUUUCAAAAUCAGCGUUAGUAGCCAAUUCGGGACACUUCUCCGGCAAAGUAGGAACUUCUCAGUAGAUUAAAUAAUUUGUCAAGAGCUAAAAUUAGGUACCUACAAAGAAUAGUUAACGACUCGUUAUUGAUUUUUUUUUUAUAAUGUAAUUUAUACAUUUUAAAUUAGUGUUUAGAAUUUCUGUCUGGCUCCUGGACACUCCGCAUAUAGAUGUCGUCUGAAGAUAUCCUGUCGUAUAUGUCACAAGAGGGGAGGAGAGGCGACAAUAGGCGAUAUAAUUGACGUACUGCGUUGUUCCCCGUUUCCCUCGCAAAUACAUAACACUAUGUAGUAAUAAUCAGUAUAUCGAUUUUAUUUUCAAAAUCAGCAUUAGUAGCCAAUUUGGGACACGGCUCCGGCAAAGUAGGAACUCCUCAGUAGAUUAAAUAAUUUGUCAAGAGCUAAAAUUAGGUACCUACAAAGAAUAGUUAACAACUUGUUAUUGAUUUUUUUUAUAAUGUAAUUUACACAUUUUAAAUUGUGUUUAGAGUUAUAUAAGUAGUCGUUUCUGCCGAUUUUUUUUUCUUAUUGCUCAGUGUUAGGGAAGUAGUAGAAUCCAAUUAUCAAAUAAUUUUGUGUUGGUAUUGAACCUUCAAGAUGUAAUGUCAUUUUGUCACUUAGGAAAAGAAAUAAAAAUGUAAAAAUUGAUGAAAAGAUAAAUGAUAGGAAACCAUCGCAAUUCUACCAUCAUCUAAAGUGGUUAGCUGGACCCAACAUGACUGUUGACAAGAUGUUACUGCCACCCACUGCCCACUAGUGGCUUAUAUCACAAUAAAACACAUUCGUGUCGUGAAGCCACAACUCUCUGGAAGCAUGUAUUUCAACUACAAAAAUUAUUACUCAAUUGUUUUAUUAGCGGUCUCCGAUUCAGACAACAUAUUUCGCAUCAUUGACGUAGGUGCAUAAGGGAACGAUAGUGAUGGAGGCGUUUUCAGAAUGGAUUAUAGAGAUAUCCAUUUCUUGUUCCAAGAAAGACUUUCGUCACUUGAAAUCCAAAUACAAAUAGUUCUGGCCGAAAAAAAAAUGAACUAGAGGAAUGGAUUAUAGAGAUAUCCUAUUUCUUUCUCCGAGAAAUAAAUAGAAGAAAAUGAAAACCGGCAGGAUCUUAUGCCCCGCCCCUUUUGUAUUCAACAACCAGGCUUUUGGUUCUCCAUAGCAGAGACCCAGUUCCAGACAGCUGGAUUCCCAGACGAUCAAACAAAAUACAGCUAUCUUGUCAGCCAACUGGAUAAGAGAAACUAAGUAUUGAGAAGGUGAAAGAUAUUAUUAGUAACCCACCUAUCGAAGGAAAUAUCUUAAAAUAAAGGAAGAAUUAACAAAACGCUUAGAGGUACCUGAACACAAAAGAAUAAGGCAACUAUUUGAUGAAAAGAUAAAUGAUAGGACACCAUCGCAGUACUACCAUCAUCUAAGGUUAGCUGGACCCAAAAUUACUGUUGUCAUUUUGAUUUGACUAUGGUCGCACGAUCAAACGUACGAUCGUUAUUAAGCAUUUCAUGUGCUCGCACGAUUACUUGCGAGGUCGUGUCGACAUCGUGUCAUCGUACGAUCGCAGUCAGUUAGGCCGACGCCUGAGACGCUGUUUUUUUGCGAGGACUUUGUGGCAGAAGCAACGGGAUCGAGACAAGUUUAGACCCCCACACCGCCCACAGCACGCUAUCUUUAUCAAUUGUAGUAGUCCUUAUCUAUCGUGACUGAGCAUGUAGCUUUUGAGGCAUAUGCACCUAAAAGGCUUAAAUGCCACUUCAUAAGAUACCAGCGUCCCGCUCCGGUUUCGCACGGGAUAACAUUAUACAU